AACUUUCGGGAAUGGAUCUCUUGGCUCUCGCAUCGAUGAAGAACGCAGCGAAAUGCGAUAAGUAAUGUGAAUUGCAGAAUUCAGUGAAUCAUCGAAUCUUUGAACGCACCUUGCACCCUUUGGCAUUCCGAAGGGUAUGCUCGUUUGAGUGUCAUUGUACUCUCACACUCCCGAUCUUGUUGGGAGCGGUGGACUUGGGUGUUGCUGCUUACCGUGGCUCACCUCAAAUGGAUUCGUGCAUCUCUUGGUUGGACAUAGUACGGCGUGAUAUGUGUCUUCGCCGGCGCCUCACUAGAGGGUGGCCGAUCGGGAGCUCUGUGCUUAUAACCGUCUUCGGACAACAACUGACAACUUGACCUCAAAUCGAGUAGGACUACCCGCUGAACUUAAGCAUAUCAAUAAGCGGAGGCU
rnacentral:misc_RNA from 1 species